UUAUUGGAGAGUUUGAUCCUGGCUCAGGAUGAACGCUGGCGGCGUGCCUAAUACAUGCAAGUCGAGCGAAUGGAUUGAGAGCUUGCUCUCAAGAAGUUAGCGGCGGACGGGUGAGUAACACGUGGGUAACCUGCCCAUAAGACUGGGAUAACUCCGGGAAACCGGGGCUAAUACCGGAUAACAUUUUGAACUGCAUGGUUCGAAAUUGAAAGGCGGCUUCGGCUGUCACUUAUGGAUGGACCCGCGUCGCAUUAGCUAGUUGGUGAGGUAACGGCUCACCAAGGCAACGAUGCGUAGCCGACCUGAGAG
rnacentral:rRNA from 1 species